GAUUACCUCAGUAACGGCGAGUGAAGCGGUAACAGCUCAAAUUUGAAAUCUGGCUCCUGCGGAGUCCGAGUUGUAAUUUGUAGAAGAUGCUUUGGGAGGUAGGCUCGGCCUAAGUUCCUUGGAACAGGACAUCAGAGAGGGUGAGAAUCCCGUAUGUGGCCGUGGCCUACGCCCGUGUAAAGCUCUUUCGACGAGUCGAGUUGUUUGGGAAUGCAGCUCAAAAUGGGUGGUAAAUUUCAUCUAAAGCUAAAUAUUGGCCAGAGACCGAUAGCGCACAAGUAGAGUGAUCGAAAGAUGAAAAGCACUUUGGAAAGAGAGUUAAACAGUACGUGAAAUUGUUGAAAGGGAAGCGCUUGCACCCAGACUUGGGCGUCGUCGAUCAUCCGAGGUUCUCCUCGGUGCACUCGGCGAGGCACAGGCCAGCAUCGGUUUGGAUGGUUGGAGAAAGGCUCUAGGAACGUAGCUCUCUUCGGGGAGUGUUAUAGCCUAGGGCGUAAUGCAGCCCAUCUGGACCGAGGACCGCGCCUUCGGGCUAGGAUGCUGGCGUAAUGGUUGCAAGCGACCCG
rnacentral:rRNA from 1 species